rnacentral:lncRNA from 1 species
UUAGCUAUGGGUUGGAUUUAAAAAUUUAGACUCAAAGGCUACGUUGGGCUAGAGAACUAAAUUUUGGAGAACAAUUUUUGUUGUUCCCAGGAACAGGGGAUAUUCCGGUAUAAGAUGGAAUAAGUUGUAAAUUACGUUUGGAUAUUGUUUGUUUGUUCCUAGAGAAUAUUCUUGAUAGUGUUUGGAUGUUUAUGUUGGAGCAAGGUGUUGGAAAGAUAAAAAUUAAAUAAAAUGACAUAUUUGCCCUUGAAUGUAAUAAUCAAAUAUGAUUUAAUAAAUUAAGUAUUAAAAUAAAUUAAUUUACAAAUUAAGUAUAUUUGUAUAUUAUUUUGAAAAUAUUAAUUCAGUAGUAAUCAAUUUAAGUAUUUAUUUGGA